AUUCAUUAACAGGAUCGCCCUUGCCUCUUUCCCCACCUCCCUCCACAUACUUAGUGGACUCCCGUUGGAACAAGCCCAUUGAGGACGCUGUAUUUUUGACUGCACAGAGAAGAAGGAGUAUUUAAAGGAAUAGAGUGAGGUGUCUGGAUUUUCUGAAAAACUCACUCAAUACCAAGGCACGGAAGUGACAUACUUCCUGAAGAAAACACCUCAAACAAACAAGCACCUCACCUGACUCUUCUGUCAAGAUCUGUUCUUUCUGGAUACACAUCCUUUAGAUGUACAAUUACUUGCCACUGACAGCUCUUUCUUUGAGCAGGUUGUUAGUAAGAAUCAUCGCAAAACACAGGCACAUGCCACCUCUGC
rnacentral:lncRNA from 1 species